rnacentral:rRNA from 1 species
AUACGUAUGGAGCAAGCGUUAUCCGGAUUUACUGGGUGUAAAGGGAGCGUAGACGGCAUAGCAAGUCUGAAGUGAAAUCCCAUGGCUUAACCAUGGAACUGCUUUGGAAACUGCCAGGCUAGAGUGCAGGAGAGGUAAGCGGAAUUCCUAGUGUAGCGGUGAAAUGCGUAGAUAUUAGGAGGAACACCAGUGGCGGAGGCGGCUUACUGGACUGUAACUGACGUUGAGGCUCGAAAGCGUGGGGAGCAAACAGGAUUAGAUACCCUGAUAGUCCACGCUGUAAACGAUGAUUACUAGGUGUUGGGGACCAAAGGUCCUCGGUACCGCCGCAAACGCAUUAAGUAAUCCACCUGGGGAGUACGUUCGCAAGAAUGAAACUCAAAUGAAUUGACGGGG